AUUGAACGCUGGCGGCAGGCUUAACACAUGCAAGUCGAGCGGAGCGAGGGUGCUUGCACCUUAGCUUAGCGGCGGACGGGUGAGUAAUGCUUAGGAAUCUGCCUAUUAGUGGGGGACAACAUUCCGAAAGGAAUGCUAAUACCGCAUACGCCCUACGGGGGAAAGCAGGGGAUCUUUGGACCUUGCGCUAAUAGAUGAGCCUAAGUCGGAUUAGCUAGUUGGUGGGGUAAAGGCCUACCAAGGCGACGAUCUGUAGCGGGUCUGAGAGGAUGAUCCGCCACACUGGGACUGAGACACGGCCCAGACUCCUACGGGAGGCAGCAGUGGGGAAUAUUGGACAAUGGGCGGAAGCCUGAUCCAGCCAUGCCGCGUGUGUGAAGAAGGCCUUUUGGUUGUAAAGCACUUUAAGCGAGGAGGAGGAGCUCUAGGUUAAUACCCUAGAUGCUUGGACGUUACUCGCAGAAUAAGCACCGGCUAACUCUGUGCCAGCAGCCGCCGCGAUAAG
rnacentral:rRNA from 1 species